rnacentral:rRNA from 1 species
UGGGGAAUUUUGGACAAUGGGCGCAAGCCUGAUCCAGCAAUGCCGCGUGCAGGAAGAAGGCCUUCGGGUUGUAAACUGCUUUUGUACGGAACGAAAAGGCUCUGGUUAAUACCUGGGGCUCAUGACGGUACCGUAAGAAUAAGCACCGGCUAACUACGUGCC